rnacentral:rRNA from 1 species
UACGAAGGGGGCUAGCGUUGCUCGGAAUCACUGGGCGUAAAGGGCGCGUAGGCGGCCAUUCAAGUCGGGGGUGAAAGCCUGUGGCUCAACCACAGAAUUGCCUUCGAUACUGUUUGGCUUGAGUAUGGCAGAGGUUGGUGGAACUGCGAGUGUAGAGGUGAAAUUCGUAGAUAUUCGCAAGAACACCAGUGGCGAAGGCGGCCAACUGGGCCAUUACCGACGCUGAGGCGCGAAAGCGUGGGGAGCAAACAGG